UACGUAGGGGGCAAGCGUUAUCCGGAUUUACUGGGUGUAAAGGGAGCGCAGGUGGCAGUAUAAGUCAGAUGUGAAAGCCCAGGGCUCAACCCUGGGACUGCAUUUGAAACUAUACUGCUAGAGUGCAGGAGAGGUAAGUGGAAUUCCUAGUGUAGCGGUGAAAUGCGUAGAUAUUAGGAGGAACACCAGUGGCGAAGGCGGCUUACUGGACUGUAACUGACACUGAGGCUCGAAAGCGUGGGGAGCAAACAGG
rnacentral:rRNA from 1 species